UCGAAAAAUCCUCUAAAUCCUCUAAGUCAGCAAUUCUUUUCAUGUGGCUACGCUGGCUGUAAAUUUGAAAUUCACAUGGUAUUCUUAUUUUAGUGAACAACCUUGUAUAUGCUGUUAAACCUUUGGCAUAAUUGUAAUUGCUGAAACUUGAGUGUUUAGUGUAAGAUACAGGGCACUUUUCACCGAUCACUUUAUAAAGUGC